GUUGAUAGGGUUCUUCUUCUUCCUGGAAGCCGCAGCCGCCUUUAGUUAGGGUUCUUCUUCUUCCUGGCUGCCGCCUUUAGUUAGGGUUUCGCGUCUUAAAUACUCAAUUGCGUGGUCGCAGUGAUAACGGGGUGGUGAUUUGUAGUGGUGAUUGAUAAUGAUCCUUUAACAACGAAGGAAGUGCAACGAACCAAUUGGAGGAUGGAUAGCGGUUUGACAACGCGGCCUUUGCGAUGGUGUUGGUUUGGUAGAGUUCUAUUGUUCUUGUAAUCUCUCUCUAUGAUUCUAAGUCAAAAUUUGUUUCAGUGAUUUAUGUUGAUCACAAUAUAGUUUCUGGCAUUGAAUUCAUUUUAAGCUUGCAAGAUUUGAGUA